rnacentral:rRNA from 1 species
CACGUAGGGGACGAGCGUUGUCCGGAUUCAUUGGGCGUAAAGCGCGCGUAGGCGGCUCGGAAAGUCGGGCGUGAAAUGCCGGGGCUCAACCCCGGGACUGCGUCCGAUACUGCCCGACUAGAGGUAGGUAGGGGAGAUCGGAAUUCCUGGUGUAGCGGUGAAAUGCGCAGAUAUCAGGAGGAACACCUGCGGCGAAGGCGGGUAGCUGGGCCGACACGUGACGCUGACUGCGCGAAAGCCAGGGGAGCGAACGGG